rnacentral:lncRNA from 1 species
CGUCCUUCCCCCUCAGCUCCUGCACCUCCCGUGAGAGGCGGUCGGGGUGAAAGGGCUCCCUGGGGGACACUGCCAGGGUCUGACCCCGAGGACAGGAGAGCCCCAGCCCUGCUCUAGCAGAGACAGAACAUCAAGAGUUAAUGCGAAAGUGAAACUCAGGGAGCGCUUUCAGAAACUUCUCAAAAACCGUCUACCCGGAUGUAAACUAGCGUAAUAUUUCCAUCCCUCCCUUGGCCCCUCUGAGAACAACAGACGCAGGACAGGGACCAGACUUAGAGCAGAUUCAUCUCAGCUCUCGCUCCCACCCAGCCCACCAUGGGUAAGUUGGGUGUCUCGGGGGGUUGGGGGCACAGAAGCUGCAGUGGGACAGAUCAGGGGGGCACGGGGACCCUGGGGUUCCCCCUUCUCCCCUCUCCUGCUGGGUGUCUGCAGGGCUGAAGGAGGGUGGGGCUGGGAGAGCUGCUGCUGCCCCCGGGCCCCUGCCCUGCCUGGCACAGGGCACUGGGCUCCUGCCAGGAGGAGCUCUAGUGCCCACACUCCUGCUCUUCUCUCUUCUUCAUUCUCAGCAGCAGCUACAGCUACAGCUGCAGCUGCAGCUGCAGCUACAGCUACAACUACAACUACAGGUAAAGCCGCAGCUGCAGCUAAAGUUGCAGGUACAGUUGCAGCUAAAGUUGCAGGUACAGCUGCAACUGGAAGUGCAGUCGUCGUUGUAGCUGUUGUUGUACUCGGUUUGGCAGUGGUCGCUGCAGGAACAUAUGUAGGUGAGAGUCUAAAAUGGGAUAAGUAG